CUCUGGUAGGCCUAGCAGCAGCUGUCUACAAUAUAAUGGAAAUACGCAUCUGGGAAUGAACCUGUGCAGAGCCAGAGGGUACAAGUUACAUCCAUGAACAUGUAGUCCAGACCUUGUGUCACCUGUAGAGUUGUACCAGUGCCCCUCCAUCAACUUGUACCAAUGACCAGAUGUGGUUACUAUGCAACCAGCUGAAGGAAGAAGGAAGUAACUGGGCUUGGUUUAUGAAUAGUUCAGAGACCAACAAUUGAAUACCCAAUAUGGCACCAUUUGAGGACACGAACUGGACACGAACUUUGGCAAGUCGAUUACAUUGAAUUCCUUCUAUCCUGAAAAGACCAUCUGUUCAACUUCAUGGGGAUAACAGAUAAGUUGUGAAUAUGGGCAUUCCUCUCCUGCCCACACAGCAAGAGUCAUAGCCAACACCACUAUUUGAGGGCUAACAGAAUGCCUGAGCCAUAGGCAUGAACUUCUCUAUAUAUCUCAUCAGAUCAGGAGACUGAUGUUAAGUGAUGGAUGUAAAAAGGUGCUGGAGUGGCCCAUGACUAUGAGAUUCAUUGGUUAUAUUAUAUACUAUGCCAUCAGGAGGCUUCUGGCCUUUUAUGGAACACAAGAAUGACCUCCUAAAGGUGAAACUGAAAUGCCAGCUCUGAGUGAACGUCUGAAAGGAGUAAAGCAUGACUCUUCACAGCACAACGCAUUUAUUAAAUGUCUCUCUAUAUAGUGGUCUGUCCCCAAAAGGAAAGAUACAUGUGCUCAGAAACCAAGGGGUAGAGGUAUAGGUGGCCCCACUUACCAUUGUUCCCAAUGAUUUGUUGGGGGAACUUAUGAUUUCUGUUCCUAUAACUCUAGGCUCUUCAGGGUUAGAGAUCCCGGUCCCCAAAGGUGUACAUUCUUGCUAAAGUACACAGCUAAGAAUCCUACUGAACUAUAAGUUAUACCAGCUACCAGGGCACUUUGGACUCUGUGCCCAGGGAAAAACAGGCACCAAAGGAGUCACAAUAUUAGCAGGAGUAAUUGGCCUUGAUCAUCAGGAUUAGAUAAGGCUCCUUUUACACAAUGUGGGAGCAAGGAGAAAUACCUGUGGAACUUGGACACCUCCUGGUAUUCCCUUCUUACAAUUAAGUGUAUAUGGCUAUGUGCAGUAAUCCGGAACUGACAAGAGAAUGACUAUCAAAAUGUUGGACCUUCAGAAGCAAAGGGUUGGAUCAUACCACAAGAAGGACAGGGAACACGCAGAGGAGGCACUUCCCAAACCUGUAGGAAGAAGCAGAUCCGAACCGUGCAGGGAGGAGUGUGGUGGCCGUAAGGAUGUGCCUCCCCAACGUCUUACCACACAGAGCAGGGCUGAGCAGGGCCUCAGCUACUGAGCUCUGGAAAUCGUUGCUGAGUUUUCCCCGAGACCAUGCUCCCCUGAGAUGCUUCCAGCCAAUGCCUGGGCAUGGCAGGGACACUACAAACUCUUACAUAUUGACAUAGAAAAUCAUAAAUAAAUUGUGAAGCGCCUGGGUGGCAU